CACAAAGCCGUCGAUGCAUUGAGGGCUCAAUGUCGUCUCCGCCGGCUGAGCGGCAAGCCGGGGUUGGGCCUGCACACCGUCUAUCAGCACCCUCCCGCGUCUCCAUUCACGGAUCUGCAGGUCAACCCCUCUUCUCCUCCUAUCCACGCAUCUUCUUUUCCAGAGCUAGGUGUAUGGUUGCAUGGCAAUUUGUGUUUUGGGGCUCACCAUGUUCUGCUUGCCCUGGUUGGCCAAUGAGGCUUUCCUUUUCUGGUAAAGGCCAAAUGUACUAUUCUCUAUGCUUUAUAUUUUUGUAGUUCCUUUGUUUCCAUGCUUGUUUUUUGAUGGGGUGUAAAUAUAUGCUUUUUUGUUCCUUGUCUGGAUUCAGGUAGGGCCUAACAUUAUUGUUCCUUUGUGCAUGGAAAUGUUGGUGGUUUUGUUCCUUUGUGUAUGGAAGGGGGCCUUGAUUAGAAUUUCUAACGUUUGAGUUGUAAUUAGUGUUUUUGUUACACAUGAAAACAUAUGGUUGUUUGUCCAAUCACAUAUGAAAAAGAGAGGAUUGUUUGUCCAACAAUUUUCUUUCUCUGUGAUAGUUUUACUACAAAUAAAGCAUAGUCACUAUUACAUCCUAUUUUAUAUCUUGUUGUGUCGUGAUGUCUGUAUAGACUCUGUCUACGUCCUUUUGACAUUCCAAGUUUUGUUUUUCUAUGGCUCAAUUAGUUACCCCGUAUCAAGAGAAAUUUAACUGGUAUUUGCGGUAGAGUUAGCUGAAUUCAUGAAGCAAUGAUUUAGUUAUUAUUAAAGCUGAAACACAACAUGUUUUGACAAAUGCGUUCUAAGUAAAGCCUCCAACUAACAUAACCAAAAACAUAUUCUUUAGGUUUAUCAUCUAUUGAAGUAUUAUGUAGAAUUUAAAAUCAUACGAGGCAAAGCAAAUGAGCUCUAUGCACUUUCCAUGUAGCACAGAACAAAAAUAAUCAUGUAUAUUUUGGAUGCACCUAGAUAUACUCAUCAGCAAGGCUGAGGUUAUAGGGCACUCACCCACAUUGUCGAUAUCUCCGUCACUAUGAUCACCCACAUGAUGGACAAUUCCCUUCUUUCUUUUCUCUGUGGCUAUUGACACUUAAUGCUAUUACUGUGUGCAUAUAUGUACUGUGAUCCAUUCUCAUUCUUCAUAUCUUGAGAAACUAUCUCAAGAUACUCGCGUUUGUGUUUUGGAGAAAGCCUAUUCUAUGAUUAAUAUAUCGAGUAUGGAUGGCGCGAUAUCACCUCUCUUUAUGAUGAUGUUCUUACAGAAUAUAGGUUUUAUGGUAACACGUCUUAGCCAACACCUAUACUGAUGCUCAGACCAGAUGAUUAUAGUCUCUCCUUGCUAUUUUUCUUGAGGUGUGUACAUCUAUCUAGACAAUUUAAUUAAAAUAUAUAUUCCAUACAAACCAUCAAUACAUGUUAGUUGACUUUGAAACUAAUCAGUAAAAAGGUUGUCCCUUUCGCAUUUUAUGGACAUAAAGAUUUGGUGUUGACUGUCGAUCUUUAGUUAACACAUGACCUUACAACCGUAGGGAGUGGGAAAAAACUUAUAUGUUUGGCACAUUUGAAGAACAUAUCAUAGUAACAAAGUUUUGGUAAACAAUGUCCUAGAUCUCAACCAUAUAGAAAUACUAAAUAUAUGUUUAUUUGUAUAUGGAUUAAUUAUACAGACUUAUAAAACCUUGUGCAGGGCACAUAAAAGAAAUUUGAAAUAACUAUUAUUUCAAUAUUUGCUUUUUCAGUUGAGCAUAAUAGUUUAUAGCCUGAUAGGCUUGGACAUAAUUGUCUACAUGUACUGCUCAGUAGGCGACAUCCUUUGGGAAAUUGAGGAUGUCCUCGUGCAUUUCUAAAUACAAUUGUGGCAGAUCUGAGGAAGGAGGGGAGGAAUAAUCUCGCGGGAGAGUUCGGUGCAGAGGAAGAAGAACAAGAUAUUAUUUAUUUCUUGUGAACAGUCAAGCUUGUGCAUUGUCCCACUUUCUGGGGCCAGGCAACCUUGAAUCCAACGUCCACCUGCAGGCUACAUCUCAGAAAACUCAUGAACAUCAUGGCGCCUUGUUGAUGGGGUGAUCAAUAGCUACUAUAUUGGGACCCUGCACUUAAAUUGUAGGUCUGAUUUU